rnacentral:rRNA from 1 species
GACGAACGCUGGCGGCGUGCCUAAUACAUGCAAGUAGAACGCUGAAGGAGGAGCUUGCUUCUCUGGAUGAGUUGCGAACGGGUGAGUAACGCGUAGGUAACCUGCCUGGUAGCGGGGGAUAACUAUUGGAAACGAUAGCUAAUACCGCAUAAGAGUAGAUGUUGCAUGACAUUUGCUUAAAAGGUGCAAUUGCAUCACUACCAGAUGGACCUGCGUUGUAUUAGCUAGUUGGUGGGGUAACGGCUUACCAAGGCGACGAUACAUAGCCGACCUGAGAGGGUGAUCGGCCACACUGGGACUGAGACACGGCCCAGACUCUUACGGGAGGCAGCAGUAGGGAAUCUUCGGCAAUGGACGGAAGUCUGACCGAGCAACGCCGCGUGAGUGAAGAAGGUUUUCGGAUCGUAAAGCUCUGUUGUAAGAGAAGAACGAGUGUGAGAGUGGAAAGUUCACACUGUGACGGUAUCUUACCAGAAAGGGACGGCUAACUACGUG